UCGGAGUCUGCAACCCGACUCCGUGAAGCUGGAUUCGCUAGUAAUCGCGCAUCAGCCAUGGCGCGGUGAAUACGUUCCCGGGCCUUGUACACACCGCCCGUCACACCAUGAGAGUUGGGAAUACCCGAAGCCUGUGAGCUAACGUAAGAGGCAGCAGUCGAAGGUAGAAUCAAUGAUUGGGGUGAAGUCGUAACAAGGUAAC
rnacentral:rRNA from 1 species